GGAGUUAGCCGGUGCUUCUUCUGCGAGUAACGUCACAGAUGUAAGGUAUUAACUUACACCCUUUCCUCCUCGCUGAAAGUGCUUUACAACCCGAAGGCCUUCUUCACACACGCGGCAUGGCUGCAUCAGGGUUUCCCCCAUUGUGCAAUAUUCCCCACUGCUGCCUCCCGUAGGAGUCUGGGCCGUGUCUCAGUCCCAGUGUGGCUGAUCAUCCUCUCAGACCAGCUAGGGAUCGUCGCCUAGGUGAGCCUUUACCUCACCUACUAGCUAAUCCCACCUGGGCUUAUCCAUCAGCGCAAGGCCCGAAGGUCCCCUGCUUUCCCCCGUAGGGCGUAUGCGGUAUUAGCAGUCGUUUCCAACUGUUAUCCCCCACAAAUGGGCAAAUUCCCAGGCAUUACUCACCCGUCCGCCGCUCGUCAUCUUCAAAGCAAGCUUUUGAAAUGUUACUGCUCGACUUGCAUGUGUUAGGCCUGCCGCCAGCGUUCAAUCUGAGCAUGAUACAACUACUGA
rnacentral:rRNA from 1 species